rnacentral:misc_RNA from 1 species
GAACGCACCUUGCGCCCCUUGGUCAUUCCGAAGGGCAUGCCUGUUUGAGUAUCAUUUGUACCUUCAAGCCUUGCUUGGUGUUGGGUGUUUGUCUCGCCUCUGCGCGCAGACUCGCCUCAAAACAAUUGGCAGCCGGCGUAUUGAUUUCGGAGCGCAGUACAUCUCGCGCUUUGCACUCAUAACGACGACGUCCAAAAAGUACAUUUUUACACUCUUGACCUCGGAUCAGGUAGGACUACCCGCUGAACUUAAG